CAAUAGCGUAUAUUAAAGUUGUUGCGGUUAAAAAGCUCGUAGUUGGAUUUCUGUUGAGAACGUCCGGUCCGCACUAUGUGCGUGUAUCUGGUUCGGUCUUGGCAUCCUCUUGAGGAACGUAUCUACGCUUGAUUGCGUGGAGCGGUAUUCAAGACUUUUACUUUGAGGAAAUUAGAGUGUUCACGGCAGGCAAGCGCCUUGAAUACGUUAGCAUGGAAUAAUAAUAUAGGAUCUUGGUUCUAUUUUGUUGGUUUCUAGGGCUAAGGUAAUGAUUAAUAGGGAUAAUUGGGGGCAUUUGUAUUAACGCGUCAGAGGUGGAAUUCUUGGAUUGCGUUACGACAAACUACUGCGAAAGCAUUUGCCAAGGAUGUUUUCAUUGA
rnacentral:rRNA from 1 species